AGGUGAUAUGAACCGUUAUAACCGGCGAUUUCCGAAUGGGGAAACCCAGUGUGAUUCGUCACACUAUCAUUAACUGAAUCCAUAGGUUAAUGAGGCGAACCGGGGGAACUGAAACAUCUAAGUACCCCGAGGAAAAGAAAUCAACCGAGAUUCCCCCAGUAGCGGCGAGCGAACGGGGAGGAGCCCAGAGCCUGAAUCAGUGUGUGUGUUAGUGGAAGCGUCUGGAAAGGCGCGCGAUACAGGGUGACAGCCCCGUACACAAAAAUGCACAUACUGUGAGCUCGAUGAGUAGGGCGGGACACGUGGUAUCCUGUCUGAAUAUGGGGGGACCAUCCUCCAAGGCUAAAUACUCCUGACUGACCGAUAGUGAACCAGUACCGUGAGGGAAAGGCGAAAAGAACCCCGGCGAGGGGAGUGAAAAAGAACCUGAAACCGUGUACGUACAAGCAGUGGGAGCACAGAGCAAUCUGUGUGACUGCGUACCUUUUGUAUAAUGGGUCAGCGACUUAUAUUCUGUAGCAAGGUUAACCGAAUAGGGGAGCCGAAGGGAAACCGAGUCUUAACUGGGCGUUAAGUUGCAGGGUAUAGACCCGAAACCCGGUGAUCUAGCCAUGGGCAGGUUGAAGGUUGGGUAACACUAACUGGAGGACCGAACCGACUAAUGUUGAAAAAUUAGCGGAUGACUUGUGGCUGGGGGUGAAAGGCCAAUCAAACCGGGAGAUAGCUGGUUCUCCCCGAAAGCUAUUUAGGUAGCGCCUCGUGAAUUCAUCUCCGGGGGUAGAGCACUGUUUCGGCAAGGGGGUCAUCCCGACUUACCAACCCGAUGCAAACUGCGAAUACCGGAGAAUGUUAUCACGGGAGACACACGGCGGGUGCUAACGUCCGUCGUGAAGAGGGAAACAACCCAGACCGCCAGCUAAGGUCCCAAAGUCAUGGUUAAGUGGGAAACGAUGUGGGAAGGCCCAGACAGCCAGGAUGUUGGCUUAGAAGCAGCCAUCAUUUAAAGAAAGCGUAAUAGCUCACUGGUCGAGUCGGCCUGCGCGGAAGAUGUAACGGGGCUAAACCAUGCACCGAAGCUGCGGCAGCGACGCUUAUGCGUUGUUGGGUAGGGGAGCGUUCUGUAAGCCUGUGAAGGUGUGCUGUGAGGCAUGCUGGAGGUAUCAGAAGUGCGAAUGCUGACAUAAGUAACGAUAAAGCGGGUGAAAAGCCCGCUCGCCGGAAGACCAAGGGUUCCUGUCCAACGUUAAUCGGGGCAGGGUGAGUCGACCCCUAAGGCGAGGCCGAAAGGCGUAGUCGAUGGGAAACAGGUUAAUAUUCCUGUACUUGGUGUUACUGCGAAGGGGGGACGGAGAAGGCUAUGUUGGCCGGGCGACGGUUGUCCCGGUUUAAGCGUGUAGGCUGGUUUUCCAGGCAAAUCCGGAAAAUCAAGGCUGAGGCGUGAUGACGAGGCACUACGGUGCUGAAGCAACAAAUGCCCUGCUUCCAGGAAAAGCCUCUAAGCAUCAGGUAACAUCAAAUCGUACCCCAAACCGACACAGGUGGUCAGGUAGAGAAUACCAAGGCGCUUGAGAGAACUCGGGUGAAGGAACUAGGCAAAAUGGUGCCGUAACUUCGGGAGAAGGCACGCUGAUAUGUAGGUGAAGUCCCUCGCGGAUGGAGCUGAAAUCAGUCGAAGAUACCAGCUGGCUGCAACUGUUUAUUAAAAACACAGCACUGUGCAAACACGAAAGUGGACGUAUACGGUGUGACGCCUGCCCGGUGCCGGAAGGUUAAUUGAUGGGGUUAGCGGUAACGCGAAGCUCUUGAUCGAAGCCCCGGUAAACGGCGGCCGUAACUAUAACGGUCCUAAGGUAGCGAAAUUCCUUGUCGGGUAAGUUCCGACCUGCACGAAUGGCGUAAUGAUGGCCAGGCUGUCUCCACCCGAGACUCAGUGAAAUUGAACUCGCUGUGAAGAUGCAGUGUACCCGCGGCAAGACGGAAAGACCCCGUGAACCUUUACUAUAGCUUGACACUGAACAUUGAGCCUUGAUGUGUAGGAUAGGUGGGAGGCUUAGAAGUGUGGACGCCAGUCUGCAUGGAGCCGACCUUGAAAUACCACCCUUUAAUGUUUGAUGUUCUAACGUUGACCCGUAAUCCGGGUUGCGGACAGUGUCUGGUGGGUAGUUUGACUGGGGCGGUCUCCUCCUAAAGAGUAACGGAGGAGCACGAAGGUUGGCUAAUCCUGGUCGGACAUCAGGAGGUUAGUGCAAUGGCAUAAGCCAGCUUGACUGCGAGCGUGACGGCGCGAGCAGGUGCGAAAGCAGGUCAUAGUGAUCCGGUGGUUCUGAAUGGAAGGGCCAUCGCUCAACGGAUAAAAGGUACUCCGGGGAUAACAGGCUGAUACCGCCCAAGAGUUCAUAUCGACGGCGGUGUUUGGCACCUCGAUGUCGGCUCAUCACAUCCUGGGGCUGAAGUAGGUCCCAAGGGUAUGGCUGUUCGCCAUUUAAAGUGGUACGCGAGCUGGGUUUAGAACGUCGUGAGACAGUUCGGUCCCUAUCUGCCGUGGGCGCUGGAGAACUGAGGGGGGCUGCUCCUAGUACGAGAGGACCGGAGUGGACGCAUCACUGGUGUUCGGGUUGUCAUGCCAAUGGCACUGCCCGGUAGCUAAAUGCGGAAGAGAUAAGUGCUGAAAGCAUCUAAGCACGAAACUUGCCCCGAGAUGAGUUCUCCCUGACUCCUUGAGAGUCCUGAAGGAACGUUGAAGACGACGACGUUGAUAGGCCGGGUGUGUAAGCGCAGCGAUGCGUUGAGCUAACCGGUACUAAUGAACCGUGAGGCUUAACCUUACAACGCCGAAG
rnacentral:rRNA from 1 species